CCUACGGGCUGCACCAGGGGGGAAUAUUGCACAAUGGGCGCAAGCCUGAUGCAGCCAUGCCGCGUGUAUGAAGAAGGCCUUCGGGUUGUAAAGUACUUUCAGCGGGGAGGAAGGUGUUGUGGUUAAUAACCGCAGCAAUUGACGUUACCCGCAGAAGAAGCACCGGCUAACUCCGUGCCAACAGCCGCGGUAAUGCGGAGGGUGCAAGCGUUAAUCGGAAUUACUGGGCGUAAAGCGCACGCAGGCGGUCUGUCAAGUCGGAUGUGAAAUCCCCGGGCUCAACCUGGGAACUGCAUUCGAAACUGGCAGGCUAGAGUCUUGUAGAGGGGGGUAGAAUUCCAGGUGUAGCGGUGAAAUGCAUAGAGAUCUGGAGGAAUACCGGUGGCGAAGGCGGCCCCCUGGACAAAGACUGACGCUCAGGUGCGAAAGCGUGGGGAGCAAACAGGAUUAGAUACCCCCGUAG
rnacentral:rRNA from 1 species